rnacentral:tRNA from 1 species
GUCCCCGUAGUUCAAUGGAUAGAACGGCGCCGUCCUAAGGUGCAUGUUGGAGGUUCGACUCCUCCCGGGGACG